rnacentral:lncRNA from 1 species
AGCUGCUGGUCAGGUUAGUUCAAGUGGAAUGCCAUAUCUUAUCGAAUAACUAAGUAUACCUUCAUACGAUUGCUUAGUUUCCAUGCUUAUGUGUUCGCAAUAACUCAUAAGAUGCUACAGUUGGCUAUAAUCGUUGUUGUAUAUGCACCAGGUAGUUUAAUUAGGAGGGUAGAUCCAUUUUCCAUAUGCAAAAUGCAAGCGUAAUUUUGUUGUAGCUUUUCCCAAACACAUAAUUCGUCUCCAAUCUGAUCAAAUGAUGUAUCUACUGUUUGUACAGAUCCUACAAAGAAGAAAGGAUUAUUGAACGCUUGCUGCUUCAAGUGUAUGCUUCAUUGUGGGCCUUUUUUAGCAACUUGGGUUAUUUCUACAAGACCCGAAUUCAGUAUGAUGUUAAUAAAAAAAAUUCUGCCUAUGAGCUUGUUGACAAUGUAUUUUAGUUGAGGUUUCAGACAUCAAAUCUACCAUUCCAUCACGUCAGGAUAAAUACAUAUUCAAGAUAGUCCAAUAUUAACACAACAAUACAUCACCUUCUCCAAUUGUUGA